rnacentral:misc_RNA from 1 species
UUUCCGUAGGUGAACCUGCGGAAGGAUCAUUAUUGAAUGAACUUGGUAGUGGUUGUAGCUGGCUCUCUCGAGAGCAUGUGCACACCCGCCAUCUUUAUCUUUCCACCUGUGCACUUCUUGUAGACUUUGGGAUUUGAAAACUUAUCCGGGGCAACUCGGUCGGGAGGAGCUGCUGUAGCAAUACGGCUCUCCUCGACAAGUCUUCAAAGUCUAUGUUUUUCAUAUACCCCAUAGUAUGUAACAGAAUGUAUACAAAUGAGCCUUAGUGCUUAUAAAACUUAUACAACUUUCAACAACGGAUCUCUUGGCUCUC